CUUAAUUAACACUUUGCUGUAAAAUAAUGGAUCCUUGCUAAGAUUCCCUUGUUAACUUUACUCAACUACUACUGUGAAAGUUUUUUUAUGACCACAAAUUCAAGUUUUCAUGUUCUCACAAUACGACAGAGAAAGAACCCAAGAGAGGCCAUUACAAUUUUGUCAUGUAGUUGACAUUCAUGUCAUCAUGUUAAAUAUUCCAACUCCCUGUGAUUUUAUAUUACCAACAACCCCCUAUAAAUUGGCUGCCUAGCUAAUAUCAACUAACUUUCUAGCCUACGCAUAUUCUGCUUCUAAAAUGUGCAGAGGUACCCAGCAAGCUACUGGUUUCUGUUUCAAGGAUGAAGUUUCGGUUAAUAAAAUGUGACAAAUGGGUGCAUGAAGCUAAUUUCUUAGCAUUCAGACAUGUUAGGUGUUUUCUCUGCAACACAUGUCAAAACCUCACACAACGAUACCUCAUCGGAGCUUCUCGUGAGGUUUUGCUUCCAACAAUGGUGAGCUGGGUUGAGAGCAGAAGGUGCAAUUCCAAGGUUGAAA